GAAAAAUGUAAAGCGUAGUAAAUUGAUACUAUACUUUAACGUUAUAGAAACAGACAUCUAGUUUCUUAAAACAGUGCCUUAUUACACUCGUGUUAAUUGUUUAGAUGUUCGUUUGUAAUUAUUAAUUAAUACUUAAGGGGACGUCGUACUCUAAUGUGUUGUACCCGCCUUACAGUCGCAUGUUAAUUAAAAGACAAAAGGUAUCUACGUCUAGCAGUUACAUUUUUGUGUUGCAAGUUUGAAUAUUACAGUGAACUAACCUGUGUUCUUUCUUUGGUUAUUUGAGAUGAAUUAUGAUGAUUAUUUAGAAUUAAUAUUUCACGCAACCAUAAGUCAUAACUCACCUAAAAAUUAUAAAAUCUCAAAAAUUCUAAGAUGUAACAUAGAUAAUGCCGUUAAGUUUGUUAAUAGGUACCUACACAAUGAUUGAACGAUAACAUGUGCUGAACAGUUGAAGUAAACAAAGCAGAACUACUGACUGGAAAGAACUAUAGCUAAAUGUACAGAAACAGUAACAACUAACAGGGUUUAUCUUUUUAUAAUACUGUUUUAUAAUUCUAUUUAUGAAGUAAGCAAUAUGGAUUAGGACAACCUUUGACAUUGAUAUUUUGUUUUGGCAAGUUCAAAAGCUAAACUGAAGAUAUUAAUUCCAACUUCUAUAAUGGAUGAAUCAUCAUUUAUACAUCUAGAUGUUUCCAACAUAACCUAAAAAGUGUAAUGUAUUAAUGUUACAAUAUUGAUUAAUCACAACAACUCCCUUGUACAAUUUUAAGAGUCGUCAUGGGCAGUAUGGUUCAAUUUCCAAGAAAAAUAUAAUUUUCUAAACACUGCAGAUAUGCCAUUAAAACAACAAACUACAAUAUUAUAAUAUAGGUAUCUUAUUCAUAUUAAAUAUGAAUUUAAACAAAUUUUGUGCACCACCAUGUGAGCCUCCACGAGCUGCCACUGGUCAUAUGUAAUGACUGGUAGAAGGGCAAAGAAGUAUGCAAAACUGAUGUUUUCUUGAUUAGAAGAGAGUAUAGUUGACCUGGAGUUUAUGUUUAGUAUUUAUAUAUAUUUUCAUUUCUUUGAUAAUGAAGUAUAAACUGAUUAAAUCAUUAAUACUGUAAUUAAUAUUUCUGUGUUUUUUAGGAAUGCAAUUGAUUGUCUAGCGGCAGGCAACACAGAGAGCAUGCAUCAUCAAACACAUUCCUAAUAUGAUAUUAUAAUAAAUUUAGUAUUUAUACAUUUUUAACAAUAUAAUCUCAUAAUACAGUCUUCAUUAUUGCAUAAUAUUAAUAAACAAUAUGAUUGUUACUGAACCUAAAAAAGUAAAAUAAAAAUAACUUAUACGUAAUA